ACGGCGAGUGAAGCGGCAACAGCUCAAAUUUGAAAUCUGGCGCAAGCCCGAGUUGUAAUUUGCAGAGGAUGUUUCGGGUGAAGCCACGGUCCAAGUCCCUUGGAACAGGACGUCAUAGAGGGUGAGAACCCCGUACCUGGCCGUCGGUGCCCCCCGCUGUGAAACUCCUUCGACGAGUCGAGUUGUUUGGGAAUGCAGCUCUAAAUUGGUGGUAAAUUCCAUCUAAAGCUAAAUACCGGCCAGAGACCGAUAGCGCACAAGUAGAGUGAUCGAAAGAUGAAAAGCACUUUGAAAAGAGAGUUAAAAAGUACGUGAAAUUGUUGAAAGGGAAGCGCUUGCGGCCAGACUUGCCCGCGGUUGCUCAGCCCGCCUUUUGGCGGGUGCACUCUUCCGCGGUCAGGCCAGCAUCGGUUUGGGCGGCCGGACAAAGGCGUCGGGAACGUGGCCUCCCCUCGGGGAGGUGUUAUAGCCCGGCGCGCAAUGCGACCAGCCCGGACCGAGGUUCGCGCUUUGCUAGGAUGCUGGCGUAAUGGCCGUAAGCGGCCCGUCUUGAAACACGGACCAAGGAGUCUAACAUCUAUGCGAGUGUUUGGGUGUCAAACCCGUGCGCGUAAUGAAAGUGAACGGAGGUGGGAACCGCAAGGUGCACCAUCGACCGAUCCUGAUGUCUUCGGAAGGAUUUGAGUAAGAGCAUAGCUGUUGGGACCCGAAAGAUGGUGAACUAUGCGUGAAUAGGGUGAAGCCAGAGGAAACUCUGGUGGAGGCUCGCAGCGGUUCUGACGUGCAAAUCGAUCGUCAAAUUUGCGUAUA
rnacentral:rRNA from 1 species